rnacentral:rRNA from 1 species
GACGAACGCUGGCGGCGUGCUUAAUACAUGCAAGUCGAACGGAAAGGCCCUGCUUUUGUUGCGUGCUCGUGUGGCGAACGGGUGAGUGACACGCGUGUAACCUGCCCUUGUAUUUGGGAUAACAUCAGGAAACUGGGGCUAAUAUCGGAUAGGAGCUCCUGAUGCAUGGUGGUGGAUGGAAAGAUUCGGCGGUUGUGGAUGGACUCGAGGCUUAUGCGCUUGUUGGUCGGGUAGUGGCUUACCAGGGCUACGACGGGUAGGCCGCGUGAGAGGGUGACCGGCCACCAGGGUACUAAGGGAGGGCCCAGAAGCCUACGGGAGGCAGCAGUGGGGAAUAUUGCGGAACAGGGGGGAGCCUGAUACAGCAACCCCGCGAGCGGGAUAACGGCCUACUAGGGGUAAACAGCUUUCUCCGUAAACGAGCCGGUAGUGACGGUAAUUAGUAAGGAAGCAACGGCUAACUACGUG